CCCACACCCACCAAACCAAACCUCUCUAUGUUGAAAAGCCCCUAUAAAUUAUCACCCUCUGAGGUUUUCAUCUCAUCUUCAACUUCAGAUAUUUGGCAUCCCACAGAACCAACCUCCUCCUCCCCUUCUUCUUCUUCUACUAACCCAGACAGCUACUCUCUCUCUCUCUCUCUCUCUCUCUCUCUCUCUCUCUCUCUCUCUCUCAAAGGAGAAAGUUGAAUUGUGCUUGUGUCUGGCCUAAGGCAACCGUUUUGCCAGCAACGCAGCAGAAUGAGUAAGGCUAUUUGGAGUGAUAUAGUUAAACUCAAAAAGGAGGAGGGCUGCCAACAAGCUUUUUGGCAUGGGUGGUGUAGGAAAGAAACAGUUGUUGUAAAGAAAGUGAUGGAGCCCAUAUAAAGAAAAGAAGAAAAUAUAAUAUUCAUGUUGUAAAGCUAAUAAGUGGAGCCCACAUGUUGGAAUGAAAUUUCCUUACACCUUCAGAUAUUUUCCUUUCUUUAGCUAAGGCCUUUGCCUAUAAAAUAAGGCUUCCUUCUCAUUUGUAAAAUACAUAAGAAAGCCUUAAUGAAAACAUCAGAUUUCUAUUACAGCUUAA